rnacentral:lncRNA from 1 species
GGGGGGGUGGGCUACAUCCUGAGCGGCGCCGGGAAUUUCAUGGAGGAUUCGCGGCCCCACCUCGGCUCCGUCCCCCCCGGUUCCCUCCGCUUCUUCUUCGGGAGCCCCGCGAGCCCCGGGGGCUUCGCCCACCUGCGCCUGGAGCCCGGCGCUGCCACCGUCACCUUCCUGGAGGCCACCGGGCGCGUCCUGCACCGCGUGGUGCUGCCCCCCCGGCAGCUCUGAGCCCGGGGGGCGCGGGGACCCCUCCCCGGGGGACAUGGGGACACCGGGACCCUUCCCCUGGGGACAGCGGGACACCGGGACCCCUCCCCUGGGGACAUUAGGGACACCGGGACCCCUCCCUGGGGGACAGCGGGACAGCGGGACCCCUCCCAUGGGGACAUCGGGGACAUCGGGGACACCGGGACCCCUCCCAUGGGGACAGCGGGACACCGGGACCCCUCCCCUGGGGACACCCCGUGACCCCUGACCCGGGGGGACAUUUGGGACAUUGACCCCUGACCUGGGGGCACCUGCGACCCCCGCCUGGGUUUCCCCCUUGACGAUGACCCCCAAUAAAGCCAUUGAACGGCGCCCCCGCCA